rnacentral:lncRNA from 1 species
ACAUGACCCUAGAUAGGAAGGUCUGGAAGAGGCGAAUUACGGCAGAAGAGUAGGGCCAGAUUGGGUCGCUAGUGUAGGGUAUUACUUGGUGGGGGUUUUUAUUUUUUAUUCCUGUUAUGAUUCCGUAUUCAGUGUUCCAUGCUUAUUACGAAUCUGUGUGCUUUCCUCUGCUUUCCUCUGCUUUCCUCUGUUUUAUAUUCCGUAUGGGUGCCGUAUUGAUAUUAUUGUCAUCUGCUUCUGUGCUUUACUAUGUGUUUGUGUGAUAUUUUGUGUGAUAUUGUGUGAUAUUUUGUGCCUGAGCCGGGGGUCUUUCGGAAACAGCCUUUCUACUUCAUCAGAGGUAGAGGUAUGGACUGCGUACAUCUUACCCCCCCCAGACCCCACUAAGUGGGA